AUCAGACUUUCUCUCAGGCUACUGAACAAGAGGUGUCUGCGCUUCUCCUUUCCUCUCGACCCACCACUUGCCCACUUGAUCCUGUCCCAUCUCACCUUAUCAGUUCUCUCUCCUCGUCUUGUGCCUUCCUUAACACACAUCUUCAACUGCUCUCUCUCUUCAGGUGUUGUCCCUGCUGUUCCAACUCUCUCCUUGACCCUCUUCCGUCUGGCUUCUGCCCUCUCCACUCCACUGAGACUGCUCUUGUUAAAGUCAUUAACAACCUAAUCGCAGCUAAAUCCAAAGGGCACUACUGUAUACUAAUUCUUCUUGACCUCUCUGCUGCCUUUGACAUGGUUGACUAUGUUCUCCUUCUCCAAACACUUCACUCGGUCUCUGUGACACUGUCCUCUCUCGGUUUUCCUCCUAUCUCUCCCAAUGCUCAUUAAGUGUCUCUUUUUUUUUUUAUUUUAAAUGAUACCUCCUCUCUUUGUCCUGUCUAUGUUGGAGUCCCCCAAGGCUCUGUACUUGGGCCCCAUCUAUUUUCUCUUUAUACUGCCUCUCUUGGCAAACUUAUUACCCCAUUUGGAUUCCAAUACCACCUGUAUGCUGAUGACACUCAGAUAUACCUCUCCUCCCCGGAGCUUGCCUUUCUUCCAUCUCUGAUCGGAUAUCCUCCCGCUUUUUAAAACGCAAUCUCUCUAAAACUGAGCUCCUUGUCUUUCCUUCUCCGAAUACUGAUCCCCCUUUCUCUCUCUCCCUUCAAGUUAGUGGUACCCACAUCAGUCCAUCCUUGUUUUAGUUUAAAUAUUCAGGCAUAUGGCUACCUAACCACUUGGACGGACUUGUAUCAUCCAUACGAUCUCCCUGUAAUACCCCCUCCCAUCCCCGUCUCUUUCUUCUCUUUUCUACUCACGGUACUAUCCGCUUUAUCUUUUCACUCUUCUUUUUUACUAAAAAUUAUCACAUUUUUAUCUCUGACUGACAUCUAAAUAAUAGACCAUUACAUUAUCUAACAUCUUCUAAACUGGGGCGAUUCGAGGGGCGCUUAUAGGGGUCUUAAGAACAUAAUGGGAACGCCACAGUAGCUAUCGUCUACAUUAGGUUGGAGUCCGCUGACUUAGACUGCUUUUCAACGCAUUCUUUCGGUCAUUGAUGAUAGGGGACGUAAAAUCUUAGUAUGUGUUUAAUAGUCAGUCAGGAGUUUUUGAUAUACCUUAAAUCAAAAUGGGUAGGACGCCACGGUUUAUGGACUUUCAGAGUCAACAAGCAACAGUUAGAUACAAUGUUUAAGCUGUUUAAUGACUGUUUUCUAGAUUUGCGUAAAUGUUUGCUUCUAACUAAUACUGACAUGUGUUAAUGCUAAU